rnacentral:rRNA from 1 species
UACAGAGGUCUCAACCGUUGUUCGGAUUCAUUGGGCGUAAAGGGUGCGUAGGCGGUCGCGCAAGUCGGAUGUGAAAUCUCAGGGCUCAACCCUGAAACUGCAUUCGAUACUGCGUGGCUAGAGUGCUGGAGAGGAGACUGGAAUUUACGGUGUAGCAGUGAAAUGCGUAGAUAUCGUAAGGAAGACCAGUGGCGAAGGCGAGUCUCUGGACAGCAACUGACGCUGAGGCACGAAGGCCAGGGGAGCGAAACGGG